AUAGCAAUAAACAAAGCCACAAGUGCGUUCGAAGCCCACAAGCACGAAGACUAGGCAAAUCCGUGUACUACCCAUGAUUCCCAUGGUGGCUGAACGAUCGCAGCGCCAGAGUUCCCUCUAGGUCAUUUUAGGAAACUCUAUGGUCUCGCUAGCCUCCAUAGCGUUGGGCCUGAUGUAUGAAACAGUAUAGCUGGACCAUGGCACGUCAUUGAAGCACCAUCCACUGCACAGACAUUGCCAAUACAAUAUCUGAUUGCGCCUAGGGAUUGUGGUAGAUUUUCUGGAAAAAUUUUACCUUGUGAAUUGUUCGGUACUACCAGACACUCUGGCAAGUUCAUGCAACUGUAUUUUGUACUUUUUUUUUCCCUCAGAACUGUUCUCUGCUAAUGCAUCUCUUCUUCUCUUAAUUGCUAGGUUGGGUGAACUUCAAGCCAGUGUAUCAACAUGAAGCUCAGCUGCCCUCAAGAACUUUGAUUUUUUUUCUUAAAUGGGAAUAGUUGUGCUCUUUUUUUUUUUUUCAUAUUCACUUCACAUAGCUUAGAGCUUAUGUUUGUUAGCAGUGCAUGUCAGAGACCCUUCACUCCAUGUCAGAGGGUGCUGCCUCAGUUUCGCACAGAGCUUAACCAUUGUUGUCAGUUGUAGCUAGCCACAAUGUUUUUAGCCUUUGUGGCGGGCCUGUGGCUUUGCUCCUGUUAAGUUUUGAGGCCUCAGUAUUGUUUUUGUGUCAACGCACCUUUUAAUAUAAGGUCACAGGUAUAGAAUUCCUCUGGUUGCUUCCGUAUGCAUCUAGCCCAGGACCUUGUCAUUGGGAUGUCAGUGCUCUUCUAGUUUUUUUUUUUUUGUUAGCUUUUUUUUUCAGCCAGCACUUUUGUAGUAAUGCAGUGACACAUUCCCAUAUUGUAAGCAUUUUGUGAUCUUUACCUUGUCCCAUAGUGUGACCACAUUUGUUAGUGGUAGUGUUACCGCAUUUGUUGAUCCUUAUCGUUGUUGUCUAGUAAAGUGUUGGAGAUAAUUUGCUGCCCUGUUUUUAUUGCCCUGACAACAGAGUGCAGGAUUUUGUGAUAUGCUGACAAAAAUGUCAAUAAAAGCAUUCUCUAACAUGACAUGGUAGUAGUGGUAAUAUUGUUUGAGAUCUUGUACUAUGUAAAAGCAAUGCAAGUGUGGUGUGCUUUGAGGGACUGAUCCUUCAACAUGAUGCUCUUCUUUUUUUUUUUUUUUUCUUGCUGCAUUUGUAGCCAUUAGUCUUGUUCAAAGUACAAACAUUAGAAGCACCUAUGUAGAAGUCACAUUGCUUCUCUUUCUUUCUCUCCUUUUUUUUUUUCUUAGGUACAUAUUACUGAAAUCCCCCCUCUCACCAUUGUUUUCCCAGAGGUCUGAUAGUUGUUUCACAUGGAUGCAAACUUUAUUUCGUUGACUCAAAUAAACUAAAAGACUUCUGUUGGC